GAGUUUGAACACCCACAGUUUGCUUCGGGAGGGGACUCAGGCCCAACAAGCACCAGGUGAAAUCAAUAUUAAUUAGUUCUCUAGUUGCUGAGAGGACCAGGAGAAGCAAAGGCCAAUCAGGGGCAGCAUGGCAAAAUAAAAGGUCUUUGUAGCCUUUUCUCUGUUUGAUAGUUUAGAAGAGGUACCAAAAGGGGAAGCUGUAGUAUUCAGGAUCCUUUUCUGCAAAGGAAAUCCAGAUGGACGGAAUUCUGAAGAAUGACAUCUAAGGCUGACCUGACCUGCCAAUGAUGCCACUAAUGGUUGCGCUGCCCCACUGCUGAGGAACUUUUGGAAGCAGCACACAUGCACCGCAAAAUAUGAUAUGCAACUUUUUAACUCAAUGUUCAGAGUUGGCCACCAUCGCACUGGAGCCAACGGCUGAUCCCUAAAUUCAGUGAAGGCUUUGCACGCA